UACGUAGGAUGCAAGCGUUGUCCGGAAUUAUUGGGCGUAAAGAGUUCGUAGGCGGUGAUCUAAGUCUGAUGUUAAAGCUCGGAGCUCAACUCCGACAUGGCAUUGGAAACUGGAUUGCUAGAGUGUGAUAGAGGUAACUGGAAUUCCAGGUGUAGCGGUGAAAUGCGUAGAUAUCAGGAGGAACACCCGUGGCGAAAGCGGCUCUCUGGGACGGUACUGACGCUGAGACGCGAAAGCGUGGGGAGCAAACAGG
rnacentral:rRNA from 1 species